UACAGAGGUCCCAAGCGUUGUUCGGAUUCACUGGGCGUAAAGGGUGCGUAGGCGGGUCUUUUAAGUCAGGGGUGAAAUCCUGGAGCUCAACUCCAGAACUGCCUUUGAUACUGAAAGUCUUGAGUAUGGGAGAGGUGAGUGGAACUGCGAGUGUAGAGGUGAAAUUCGUAGAUAUUCGCAAGAACACCAGUGGCGAAGGCGGCUCACUGGCCCAUUACUGACGCUGAGGCACGAAAGCGUGGGGAGCAAACAGG
rnacentral:rRNA from 1 species